rnacentral:misc_RNA from 1 species
GAUGAAGAACGCAGCGAAAUGCGAUACGUAAUGUGAAUUGCAGAAUUCAGUGAAUCAUCGAGUCUUUGAACGCACAUUGCGCCCUCUGGCAUUCCGGAGGGCAUGCCUGUCCGAGCGUCAUUGCUGCCCUCAAGCACGGCUUGUGUGUUGGGCCCCGCCCCCCGAUCCCGGGGGGCGGGCCCGAAAGGCAGCGGCGGCACCGCGUCCGGUCCUCGAGCGUAUGGGGCUUUGUCACCCGCUCUGUAGGCCCGGCCGGCGCUUGCCGAUCAACCAAACUUUUUUCCAGGUUGACCUCGGAUCAGGUAGGGAUACCCGCUGAACUUAAGCAUAUCAAUAAGCGGAGGA